rnacentral:rRNA from 1 species
UGAGUAGGGCGGGACACGUGGUAUCCUGUCUGAAUAUGGGGGGACCAUCCUCCAAGGCUAAAUACUCCUGACUGACCGAUAGUGAACCAGUACCGUGAGGGAAAGGCGAAAAGAACCCCGGCGAGGGGAGUGAAAAAGAACCUGAAACCGUGUACGUACAAGCAGUGGGAGCACAGGUUUACCUGUGUGACUGCGUACCUUUUGUAUAAUGGGUCAGCGACUUAUAUUCUGUAGCAAGGUUAACCGUAUAGGGGAGCCGUAGGGAAACCGAGUCUUAACCGGGCGUUAAGUUGCAGGGUA